rnacentral:rRNA from 1 species
AUUGAACGCUGGCGGAAUGCUUUACACAUGCAAGUCGAACGGUAGAGGGGGCAACCCCUCGAGAGUGGCGAACGGGUGAGUAAUAUAUCGGAACGUGCCCAGUCGUGGGGGAUAACGUAGCGAAAGUUACGCUAAUACCGCAUACGAUCUAAGGAUGAAAGCGGGGGAUCGCAAGACCUCGCGCGAUUGGAGCUGCCGAUAUCAGAUUAGGUAGUUGGUGGGGUAAAGGCCCACCAAGACAACGAUCUGGAGCUGGUCUGAGAGGACGACCAGCCACACGGGAACUGAGACACGGUCCAGACUCCUACGGGAGGCAGCAGUGGGGAAUUUUGGACAAUGGACGCAAGUCUGAUCCAGCCAUUCCGCGUGCAGGAUGAAGGCCCUCGGGUUGUAAACUGCUUUUGUACGGAACGAAAAGGUCUCUCCUAAUACGAGGGGCUCAUGACGGUACCGUAAGAAUAAGCACCGGCUAACUACGUGCCAGCCGCCGCGGUAAAAC